AAUAAACAUAACCUAUAAGGUGUUUAAUCGCAAUAUAAACAAAUGACAAAUAAUUAAGUACGUAUAUUUUAAUCUCGAACCCUUUACUUUGUUUACAUUUCCGGUUUAGGAUAUAGCCUCGACACCUCUGCGUAUCGUUUACAUUUCCUGUUUCCUUCCAGAAGCUGCAUUACGUACUUUCUUUUAGAGAUAUGGCUAGAAAAAAGAGUAGAAAGGUUAGUGGAGCUGCAUUGACGUCAAUGCUGGGGCGAAAGAACAAGGAGGCAGUCCAGGACUCUUCGGUUACGGUUGAUAGCUCCACAGAACCUCUCAACAUCUUUAAUGGUGUAAGUCUUGAUCAAAGGGUGGACGACGUAAGUUUGAACUUUAUUACUUAUCUUAUUCAUAAUAUAAAAUGAAACAUAUCAUUUUGUUAAUCAUGUAAUUAUUAACUAUUGAAUUAGGAAUUUAUAAUUUUUAAAUGAUUGUUUCUGCCGCACGUUUGGAAAAUAUCUAAUUACGUUCAAGAAAACCAUCAAGAUAACUUAAA